rnacentral:rRNA from 1 species
AGAGAGUGGAAUUCCACGUGUAGCGGUGAAAUGCGUAGAGAUGUGGAGGAACACCAGUGGCGAAGGCGACUCUCUGGGCUGUAACUGACGCUGAAGCGCGAAAGCGUGGGGAGCAAACAGGAUUAAAUACCCUGGUAAUCCACGCCCUAAACGAUGAAUGCUAAGUGUUAAGGGUUUCUAUACCCUUGGUGCCUAAGUUAACACAUUAAGCAUUCCGCCUGGGGAGUACGGUCCCAAGACUGAAACUCCAAGGAAUUGACGGGGACCCGCACAAGCAGUGGAAUAUGUGGUUUAAUUCCAAACAACGCCAAAAACCUUACCAGGGCCUGACCUCCCUCUGACCGGGCUAGAGAUAGACCUUUCCUUCUCGACAGACGAGACAAGUGGUGCAUGGUUGUCGUCAGCUCGUGUCGUGAG